CCGGUUUUGUAUAGUUGAGAGAUCCCGCAUAUCUGGUUUUGCGGUUUGAGGAUGUUUUCGUAUCCCGAUGACAAGUUGAGGAACCUUCGGUGUACUUUUUCCAUCCCCUUUCCUCCCCCUCUUGCCACGAACCCUUCGCCGUCGCCGGCGAUCCCACCGACUCCCGGCCACCUCUGCUUCCCCGGCGAUGUCUCUGCUUUGCGCUCCGCCGUCAAUGCGCGUUGCCCGGGCUAUGCGUCGCCUUCUCCCUGUGUCCUUGUGCGACCCGAGCCGCAAAUCCAGGCCCCAGAGCCGCAGGAUUGACAGAACUCAGGGAGAUCUCCUGAUCCGGUGGUUGUUCGGUUCGCUGCCCCCUCCUUGCAUUGAUAAAGGAUUUUGUUGCAAACCACUAGUUAUGGACCCAUGAAACGGACGAGGAGGGCAUCUUACUGAAAUAGUGCAACGAGGAGUACUCUGCACACGGUGGUUGGAUGGAGAUAUAUCAUAGCAACAACUGAACAAGUAUCAUCAUAAGACAGUUCUGUGUCCUCUCCUUGGCAUCGAUGAAGGCUUCUAUUAUGCGAUCCCACCUGGUAUUGAUGCACUGAAUGAAAUGCAAAGGAAUUUUCAAACGCAUUGUACAGCCUAUGAGGGGUCCAGUGUUUGAGGCUACAUAAUAUGAAUGAUAAAGAUAAAUCAAGGCUAUCACAGAACACAGAAUAAGGUAAUUAUCAAGUCAUUGUCUUUGAGCACAAUUCUGUAUGUGCUAUUCAUUUUACAAGUAAGGUGCAUGCUAGCUAGUACUCAGGAUCACUGAGCAAUACGUAGGCUAUCUUUCAAACAUGUGCCAACUGGGGGAUGGAAGAAGUAUCCUCUUCUGGGAGGAUUGCUGGAUGCAGGAGGGAGGUAUACGAGCCAUUGCGCCUUCCAUCUUCGAACAUGUUCCUGUUCGAAUCCGCAAACGCAGGACGGUCGCGGAAGCACUGCUCAAUAAAGCAUGGAUCAGAGACAUCAGCGGGGCACUUGGAGUUCAGGCAAUCCGAGAAUACCUCAAGCUCUGGUCACUUCUGCAAAAUGCUGGUUGCAAUCCCUCUGAGCAAGAUGUGAUCUGUUGGAAAUGGGACAGCUCAGGACAAUACUCCUCCAAGUCGGCAUACAGAGCAUUAUUUCUAGGUCGUGUUCCAUUUCAAUCAGCACCGAUAUGGAAAUCUCUAGCGCCGCCCAGAUGCUGAUUCUUUCUUUGGCUGGUCGUAUUGGACAGAUGCUGGACAGCGGAUCGACUACGUCGUCGUGGCCUACCACAUCCUGACAGAUGCGUACUUUGUGAUCAACACGACGAGAGUAUUGAUCACAUUCUUGUUGGCUUGACAGAUGCGUACUUUGUGAUCAACACGACGAGAGUAUUGAUCACAUUCUUGUUGGCUGCCCAGAAUCCAGACAACUUUGGUGGUGGGUGUUAAGGGCAAUUGGGCACCCUGAGUGUCUGCCGGUGGAUGAACCAUCAUUCUACCAAUGGCUCUGCAGCAGUCGAAUAAGAAUUUGAGAGCAUCUUCGGCGGGGCUUUGACACGGUAGUCACGCUAGUGGCAUGGACAAUUUGGAAAGAAAGAAACGGCCGGAUAUUCAAUCAGCAACAAAGGACCUGGGUGGACAUCGUGAAGGGAAUGGCAGCAGAGGCCACGCUAUGGCGUCAAGCAAACCAAGCCAUCCCAAUCUUUAGGAGGGAAUUUGGUAGCCAAAACAGACCGCGAGACGUACACCUUUGAUUUCCUGCUUGUAUCCUGUCUCAGUCCCCUGCUGCUUUGUGUUUGUCUGUAAAUAACUUUUAUUCCUCUUAAUACAAAAAUGCGCUCCUCGCGUA